GGGUGGGGGCCGGUGGGGGGGUCUCGCCCGCGGUGCGCUCGGCCUCCCGCCCUCGUCCACCGAGAAAUAGGGUCACAUUUUGCCCAGGGCUGAAUUCGCUCCUUAAUUCAACAUUUACUGAAAGCCUGCUGUGUCCAGAGGCUAGAGAUCCGCCACCGAACAGGGGAGAGAACGCCACUUGCGACGCUCCUGGAUGCCCUUUCAUCCCGACAUCACCCAGAGUGGGAGCCAAGGCCUCUGCCGGCCGCCUGUGCGGUGCAGGUGGGGGACGUCGGUUCAGGAGUCUCCUCUGGACAGGGAAACGGGCAGCGGAGGAUCUGGGGGCAGGUCUGGGAGGUCCCUGGGGGCUGAUGCGUUGAGCACUUCGCUGAUGCCCCAUGCCAGCCUGGCUGCUGUCUCCUGAGAUAAGGAGCAGAAAAAGACACAGCAGAUCUGGGAGGCGUGCCGGGCACCGGGCAAGCAGGAGGUUGCUGGCCAGGGGAGGUCCGACCAGGAGCUGGAGCCCCCAGGGACUUGCAGUGGGACCACGUCACUCCCGCCCUCAUAUACCUGCCUCGGCUCCCCAGCUGUCUGCUGAGAGCAUCAAGGCUCCUCCAGACCCCAGCACACCUCUGCACCACAGCUGCUCCCACUGCCAUGCUUCUGCAUCCACUGUUUCUUCCGCCAGGCGUGCCAGACUCACCUCCCAUCCCCUUACAUCUUUUCUAUCAUCUUUUUAAGAACCCCUUGGAGUUCUAAACCUGGCUGAGUGAGGUGGCCAAGCAACUUCCCCUCCAAGCCGUAGCUUACUCAUUGAGAACAUGUGGAAGCUAUUUCUUACCUCACAGGAUUGUUGGUGCAAAUUAAACACGACAGCGUCUGUGAAAAGCACCUGAUGGCAAACAGCACGAAGUAGUUAUUUAAAAAGUAGCCCCCCCCACCUCAAAAAACACCAACCAACUUCUUGCAGCAGCACCUCCUCCGGGAAGCCUUCCCUGACCACACCCCCUGGUCUGGCUUAAGUGCCUUCUUGUUGGUCCCUCCCUCCCUGGGCAACCCCUGGCACGGCACCACACAGGGCAGCAAUGACUGUGACUUUCCUGGUGGGUGCCAGGCCCCACAGUCAGUGUCAGACAAAGAAGUUGCAAGAAGGGGUGAAUGGCACAGGCCCAACCUCAGCCUCCUCCUCUGUCUGGCCCCUGGUAGGUGAGAGGACAGGCAUCUCAGAUGCCCCUGGACCCCAGGAUUCUCGGCCUCCGUGCUCGGGACCAGCUUGCCAGGCUGCUGUCCAUCUCUGCUCGGAGCAGUCCUGACCUCGGCCCAGGCCCCCACUCUCCUCCCCAGGCAGCCGCUGAUGGCAGCUCCCAGAGAUGGGGAUGGGCCCACUCCGCUCCCUCAUCCUCUGCCAUGCUGCAGGUCAGCCGGUGGCCAAGUGGCCAGCCUGAGCUCAGGGCUGGCUGGAGAAGGGGUGAUGAAACAUCCCGGGUGGCCCCAGGAGCUUAGGGAAGCAACGGGUGGGGGUCCCCGAGCUGUCUCCAUUUCUUCUAGGAAGCUCAGGGGUACUACGCAUUUAUCCCAGACGAGGCCACGCUGACACAAAUCCAGCAGGGCCCUGCUCUGGGCCAGAAGCUGUCAGCUCACAGCCCCGCUGGCUAUCUCCCCCCACCCAAAGCUCGGGGAGGCAGUUAUGGAUGUCUUUGAUUAAUAAGAAAUGGGGGCAAUGAAUUAAUCAUUAUGUAAUAAAUGCAGCUUGUUUGGCAGCCAUAUCUUUCAAAAACACGGCUCCUGUGUGUGAGAAAUAGCGGAGGGGGGUCCCUCAGUAAACACAUAUGGCACUCCAGGGGAGGCUACCAUGUUUGCCCCAGGAGCCCCUGUACCUGGGGGUCGGCAGUGACAGCCUCGGGCAUCUUCUGGCGGGGGGUGGGGGGGGCGUGACGCGGGAGCACCUGGCCAGGAGUCCCUGGAGAGACAGAACAGGCGGUAGGGGGGCGGGGGGAGUAGGGCAGAGAACAGGGGCUCUGGGCUCAGCCCAGGUCCCUACCUCCCUGCCCAGUGCAGGGCGGGGCUCCCGGUCCUGGGGCUGCUGCCCGCUCUGCUCUGAAAGGAGAAGCAGGAACACAUGUUUCCUUGGAUCAGAAAAUAACGUCGGCUCCCAGAUGGGCCAUGGGCCGCGUCCGCUCCCUUUCCCGCUUUGUGCCAAGGUCUGUCUUUCUGGGGAGCAGCAGAGGGUGGCGGGCGGGGGCAGGGGCACCAGCGGGGCACCUGGCGCUCGGUCAUCGCCUACUGCUGUCUGCCGCGAGAUGUGACAGGUGCUGG